UACGUAGGGACCAAGCGUUGUUCGGAUUUACUGGGCGUAAAGGGCGCGUAGGCGGCAGAUCAAGUCAGCUGUGAAAUCUCCGAGCUUAACUCGGAACGGUCAGCUGAUACUGUAUUGCUAGAGUACAGAAGGGGCAAUCGGAAUUCUUGGUGUAGCGGUGAAAUGCGCAGAUAUCAGGAGGAACCCCUAUGGCCAAGGCAGCUCGCUGGGACGGUACUGACGCUGAGGCGCGAAAGCGUGGGGAGCAAACAGG
rnacentral:rRNA from 1 species